AACGAACGCUGGCGGCAGGCCUAACACAUGCAAGUCGAGCGAGGACUUCGGUCCUAGCGGCGGACGGGUGAGUAACGCGUGGGAACGUGCCCUUUGCUUCGGAAUAGCCCUGGGAAACUGGGAGUAAUACCGGAUGAGCCCUUUGGGGGAAAGAUUUAUCGGCGAAGGAUCGGCCCGCGUUGGAUUAGGUAGUUGGUGGGGUAAUGGCCUACCAAGCCGACGAUCCAUAGCUGGUUUGAGAGGAUGAUCAGCCACACUGGGACUGAGACACGGCCGAGACUCCUACGGGAGGAAGCAGUGGGGAAUAUUAGAAAAUGGGGGAAAGCCUGAUCUAGCCAUGACGGGUGAGAGAUGAAGGCCUUAGGGUUGUAAAGCUCUUUCAGCUGGGAAGAUAAUGACGGUAACAGCAGAAGAAGCCACGGCUAACUCCGUG
rnacentral:rRNA from 1 species